CCUACGGGAGGCAGCAGUGGGGAAUAUUGCACAAUGGACGAAAGUCUGAUGCAGCAACGCCGCGUGGAGGAUGACACAUUUCGGUGCGUAAACUCCUUUUAUAUAGGAAGAUAAUGACGGUACUAUAUGAAUAAGCGCCGGCUAACUCUGUGCCAGCAGCCGCGGUAAU
rnacentral:rRNA from 1 species